GACGAACGCUGGCGGCGUGCUUAACACAUGCAAGUCGAACGGAAAGGCCCUGCUUUUGUGGGGUGCUCGAUUUGCUAACGGGUGAGUAACACGUGAGUAGCCUUCCCUUGCCUUUGGGAUAACUUCAGGAAACUGGUGCUAAUACCCUAUAGGAGCUCCUGCUGCAUGUUGUUGCUUUGAAAGUUUCGGGGGUUGGGGAUGGUCUCGCGGCUUAUCAGCUUGUUGGUGGGGUAGUGGCUUACCAUGGCUUUGACGGGUAGCCGGCCUGAGAGGGUGACCGGCGAAAUGGGGACUGAGAUACGGCACAGAAGGGAACGGGAGGCAGCAGUGGGGAAGAUUGCAGAAUGGGGGGAAGCCUGAUGCAGCAAAGGAGGGAGCGGGAUGAGGGACAUCGGGUUGAAAACAGAUUUGGAGUGUGAGGAAGAGUGAGUGACGGUAAUGGGUAAAGAAGCACCGGCUAACUACGUG
rnacentral:rRNA from 1 species